AACGACGGGUAACGGGGAAUCAGGGUUCGAUUCCGGAGAGGGAGCCCGAGAAACGGCUACCACUUCCAAGGAAGGCAGCAGGCGCGCAACUUACCCUAAUCUCGAUUCGAGGAGGUAGUGACAAGAAAUACCGAUGCGGGGACCCUACGGGUGCCGCGUUCGGAAUGAGUACGAUUCGAACCACCUAACGAGGAACGAUCGGAGGGCAAGUCUGGUGCCAGCAGCCGCGGUAAUUCCAGCUCCAAUAGCGUACGUUAAAGUUGCUGCAGUUAAAAAGCUCGUAGUUGAACGUUCGGGUUCCGCGGGACGGGGCCGCCCCGCGAGGGACGGCGCCGCCCCGGGGCUCGUGAUAUCUCAUCUCGCCGCCCGUCGCGAGGCGGACGGAGGGAUGGAUGAGGUUACCUGGAAAAAAUCGGGGGC
rnacentral:rRNA from 1 species